rnacentral:lncRNA from 1 species
AAAUAUUAGCUCACAGGUAACUAAUCAUGAAGCACUAGUUGUAGAUUUUCUUUUAGACAAGUUUCUGCAAUCCUUGUUUCAACUUUAGUUUAUGUUUACUUCAUGCUUUGCCCGUAAUAGCUAUCUGGUGUGCUUGUCUUAUUGACAUGAUUGAUUACUUAAAAAAUACUCAUGGAUUUGUGUUAUGCUGAACUGAGAACACCUUAAUAUUUACUUGCAUGUUAUGGCACAUAGCCUUAAUAACCUAUCUUAUUCUAUUUUGUCAGUGAAAGAAAAUAUUAAUUUAUUCUUAUUCACUGUAGAUGGAGCAAGAUGAUUAUGUGGGACAUGAGGAUCCACCGACACAUUAUAAAUAUAAUUGUACUAAAUAUAAGGUUUGCAAAUCAAACUGAACACAUGGAUGAAAAGUAAUAUAUUAUGUUAAUUUUAGCGGAUAUCGUUAUUGCCACUUCUUUUCGACUUUCCUGACAUGUGCUUCUUUCUAGAACAAAGACAAUAUAGUACUUAUGAUAGAGUGUUAAAUUUUAUCAUAUCUUUAGUAAGUAGAUCAUUUCUACUAGAUCAUACCUUUCCCUCAAUUGACUAAUAAUUUCUAUUUAAUUAUAGGAAAAACAUAUCCACAAUGAUGUUAUGUUGGAUAAAAGCAAGUGUACUGAUAAAAUCAAGGUGCUGACUAAAUAACUCUCGGUCAUAUGAAGUCUAUCAAAUUAUUGAUCAAAUUUUUGUAUUUAAACUAGCACAUAUUACAGGUUGUGGCAAAGGAAACAUCUGCUAUUCCCUCAAAUUUUGAAGCAUCUGACUACCAAGUAAAUAUUAUUUUGGCAAUGAUAUUUUUGUUACAUUGCUUAUUUUCCACUACUGAGUUAUCUGUUUUGACUUAUAUCUAGCAGAACAAGAUCUCAAAAAGGCCUAGUGCAACAUUACCUGCUAGUGUAUAAGACACAUCACUUCAAACUUCAUAUUAUCCCUUUCUUAAUUGUUCUUACAACUGGAGUCUAAGAAUCCCCAUAUUCACUUUUGUAGAAACAUCAUUGUGGCACAACAAAUUGGUCAACUGGCAAUUCAA